rnacentral:rRNA from 1 species
UACGGAGGGGGCUAGCGUUGUUCGGAAUUACUGGCGUAAAGCGCACGUAGGCGGCUUUGUAAGUUAGAGGUGAAAGCCUGGUGCUCAACACCAGAAUUGCCUUUAAGACUGCAUCGCUUGAACGUCGGAGAGGUGAGUGGAAUUCCGAGUGUAGAGGUGAAAUUCGUAGAUAUUCGGAAGAACACCAGUGGCGAAGGCGGCUCACUGGACGACUGUUGACGCUGAGGUGCGAAAGCGUGGGGAGCAAACAGGAUUGAGAA